rnacentral:tRNA from 1 species
GGGCCCGUCGUCUAGCCUGGUUAGGACGCCGCCCUCACAUGGCGGAGAUCCGGGGUUCAAAUCCCCGCGGGCCCA